rnacentral:lncRNA from 1 species
UGUAUCUUGCUUUUCCGUCAUAUCUUUAAUUCUUGAUUGAGGAACAUUGUACUUAUUUUGGGAAUUAAUGUAUGAAAAAUGUUCCUAUUUUGAUCAAUGAAGUCUAAAGCUUUUUCGUUAUUGCAUCUUUUCCCAUAUCUAUGUUUUUGAUGAUGACAAAAAGGGGGAGAAGAGAAGAGGAAAGAGUAUAUAAAAGAAGUUAUGAAGGAAAGGGUAGUAUAUAAAGGGAGAAGAGGAAACAGUAUAUAAAGGAGUAUAUAAAGGAGAAGAGAAGGAAGAGUAUAAAGGGGGAGACGAAAAGAUAAAGUAUUCACUCUAAGAAAAGAAAGAGUAUUUCAUUUAUGAGAAAGAGUGAGUAAAGAAGUUAUGAAAAGAAAAGAGAAAUAAAUGGGCUAAACAAAUUGAAAAUCAUAUAAGAAAGAUUAUAUAUCUAAGGGGGAGCAA